UUAUACGACCGUACCGCAAACCGACACUGGUGCGCGAGAUGAGUAUUCUAAGGCGCUUGAGAGAACUCAGGAGAAGGAACUCGGCAAAUUGACACCGUAACUUCGGAAGAAGGUGUGCCCUAUUAGUGUGUAGUGAACAACGAAGCAUGAAUGGGUUGCAAAAAAUCGGUGGCUGCGACUGUUUAUUAAAAACACAGCACUCUGCAAACACGAAAGUGGACGUAUAGGGUGUGACGCCUGCCCGGUGCUGGAAGAUUAAAUGAUGGGGUGCAAGCUCUUGAUUGAAGUCCCAGUAAACGGCGGCCGUAACUAUAACGGUCCUAAGGUAGCGAAAUUCCUUGUCGGGUAAGUUCCGACCUGCACGAAUGGCGUAACGAUGGCCACACUGUCUCCUCCUGAGACUCAGCGAAGUUGAAAUGUUUGUGAUGAUGCAAUCUCCCCGCGGAAAGACGGAAAGACCCCAUGAACCUUUACUGUAGCUUUGUAUUGGACUUUGAACAGAUCUGUGUAGGAUAGGUGGGAGGCUUUGAAGCAGGGUCGCUAGAUCUUGUGGAGCCAACGUUGAAAUACCACCCUGGUGUGUUUGAGGUUCUAACCUAGGUCCAUUAUCUGGAUCGGGGACAGUGCAUGGUAGGCAGUUUGACUGGGGCGGUCUCCUCCCAAAGCGUAACGGAGGAGUUCGAAGGUACGCUAGUUACGGUCGGACAUCGUGACGAUAGUGCAAUGGCAUAAGCGUGCUUAACUGCGAGACUGACAAGUCGAGCAGAUGCGAAAGCAGGACAUAGUGAUCCGGUGGUUCUGUAUGGAAGGGCCAUCGCUCAACGGAUAAAAGGUACUCUGGGGAUAACAGGCUGAUACCGCCCAAGAGUUCAUAUCGACGGCGGUGUUUGGCACCUCGAUGUCGGCUCAUCUCAUCCUGGGGCUGUAGCCGGUCCCAAGGGUAUGGCUGUUCGCCAUUUAAAGAGGUACGUGAGCUGGGUUUAAAACGUCGUGAGACAGUUUGGUCCCUAUCUUCCGUGGGCGCUGCAGAUUUGAGGAAGCCUGCUCCUAGUACGAGAGGACCGGAGUGGACACACCCCUGGUGUAUCGGUUGUCACGCCAGUGGCAUUGCCGAGUAGCUAAGUGUGGAAGAGAUAACCGCUGAAAGCAUCUAAGCGGGAAACUCGUUUCAAGAUGAGAUCUGCCGGGGCCUUGAGCCCCCUAAAGAGUCGUUCAAGACCAGGACGUUGAUAGGUCAGGUGUGGAAGCGUC
rnacentral:rRNA from 1 species